rnacentral:rRNA from 1 species
CUACCGCUAUUGGAGUUCGAUUAAGCCAUGCGAGUCUAGAGGCCUAGCCUCGGCGUACCGCUCAGUAACACGUGGGUAACCUACCCUAUGCUGGGGAAUAAGCUCGGGAAACUGAGAAUAAUACCCCAUAGUCCACUACGCCUGGAACGGUGAGUGGAUCAAAGCUCCGGCGGCAUAGGAUGGGCCUGCGGCGUAUCAGGUUGUAGGGGGUGUAAUGUACCCUCUAGCCAUCCACGCGUACGGGUGUUGGGAGACAUUGCCCGGAGAUGGAUUCUGAGACACGAAUCCAGACCCUACGGGGUGCAGCAGGCGCGAAAACUUGGCAAUGCGAGAAAUCGUGACCAGGGAACUCCAAGUGGCAGGGGUAAGACCCUGUCUUUUUCCGACUCUAAAUAGGUCGGCGAAUAAGGGGUGGGUAAGGACGGUGCCAGCCGCCGCGGUAAUACCGGCGCCUCAAGUGGUAGUCGCUUUUAUUGGGCCUAAAACGUCCGUAGCCGGUCUGGUACAUUCGUGGGUAAAUCAACUCGCUCAACGAGUUGAAUUCUGCGAGGACGGCCAGACUUGGGACCGGGAGAGGUGUGGGGUACUCUCAGGGUAGGGGUAAAAUCCUGUCAUCCUGAGAGGACCACCUGUUGCGAAGGCUCCACACUAGAACGGAUCCGACGGUCAGGGACGAAGCCUAGGGGCACGAACCGGAUUAGAUACCCGGGUAGUCCUAGGUGUAAACGCUGUGGACUUGAUGUUGGGGACGCUCCGAGCGUUCUCAGUGUCGAAGCGAAGGUGAUAAGUCCACUGCCUGGGGAGUACGGUCGCAAGGCUGAAACUUAAAGGAAUUGGCGGGGG